UUUUGAAGAGACCACUGUUGGUCACUGUUACCAUUACACACUUUUCAUAAUUUUGUCUACAGUUUUUCUCAGAGAAAUUGAGCAGACAGAACACUGACCUGUCCAUGUGCUAUAAUUAUGUGUCUUUGGAUGGAUUCUUUGUAUGAUGAAAAAUCUACUCUUUGAGAAAUACCAAGGUGAACCAAGAAAGACGGUGUAAAGAGAAAAGGACUGAAGCCCAUUGCCAUUACAAAUAAUGUAUGCCAAAAGACAUUGAGUCCCAGGAACAGGUCCAGAAAGGGCAACGAAACUGGUGAGAGGUCUGGAGCACAAGUCUUAUGAAGAGCAGCUGAGGGAGCUGGGAUUGUUUAGUCUGGAGAAGAGGAGGCUCAGGGAAGACCACAUUGCACUCUACAACUUCUUGAGGGGAUGUUGUGAUGAGGAGGGGUUUGGCCUCUUCUCCCAGGCAACAAACAGAGCCCAAGGAAAUGGCCACAAGUUGUACCAGAGGAGAUUUCAAUUAGACAUAAGGUAACAGCAAGAGUUAACAUUCAUGAGAUAGGAUCAAGGACCAAACUCCAGCAGAAAAUACAUCUGGAAUAUGUUGGCAGAUUUUCAGUGGCAUCUCACCAAAUUGUUAAAAUAAAAUGGGAGGAGGGAGACUGUUCAUGACAGCUCAGAGGCCAUGCCUGUUGCAGAGGAGAUACUGGCUACUGAGUCCCUGUGCAGUAGAAACCACUUCUGAUUUUUAGGUGGGUUUUGUCCCUUUUUUUAUUCCUGAAGGUCUAUGAAUUGAUUCAGCCGAAUGAUCCUCCUGCAAGUUUGUCUCAGACAAGAUAUGUCUUCCAGCCUACUUCUGCCAUUGGAAAUGCUACUCAGGAUACUCUAGACCAUGAAUAUCAUUAGGCCAAGUCAUGCCAUAAAGGUUUCCCCAGUUAAUAUCUUUCUUGGAUUUUUUGUUCACAUGUAUUUUAUAUCUAAAACUGGAACAUCUGAUUUACCCAUCAAAGUGUAACAAAGAAUGACAAUAAAUCUGACAUGGUCAGCUGUAUGCUUUGUGUUUUGUAGCAUCAUUUGUAUACUCAUAUUCAAAGUCUUCCUCUGCAUCUCCAUGUUGUCCCAUUUCUGGGGAUCUUUUCCCA
ensembl:lncRNA